UUUACCCCUAGGGUCAUUGCAGGUGCGGCUGCUGUGUCCCAUGUUUGUCAGUGGGUGGCAGAGAGGAGAGAGGCUAUGUCUACUCCAGUGUUCUAAAUGAUUAGUAACCUAACAUU
rnacentral:snoRNA from 1 species